GACGAACGCUGGCGGCGUGCCUAAUACAUGCAAGUCGAACGCUAAGGCCCUGCCUUUCUUCUCUGCUCGAGUUGCGAACGGGUGAGUAACGCGUAAGUAACCUGCCCUUUAGUUGGGGAUAACUACAGGAAACGGUAGCUAAUACCGCAUAGGAGCACCUGCUGCAUGGUGUUGGCUGGAAAGGUUCGACUGCUGCGGUAGGAGUUGCGGCUUCUCAGUUUGUUGGUGUGGUAGUGGUAUCCCAAGGCUUAGACGGGGAGCCGGACUGGGACGGUGACCGGCCACAUUGGGACUGAGGAGCCGGCAGGACUGCAACGGGAGGCAGGAGUGGGGAAUAUUGCGAGAUGGGCGGAAGCCUGAUGCAGCAACGCCGCGUGCGGGAUGACGGCCGUCGGGUUGGAACCCGCGUUCGCCUGUGAAGAAGAGUGAGUGACGGUAAUGGGUAAAGAAGCACCGGCUAACUACGUG
rnacentral:rRNA from 1 species